GACGAACCGUGCGAACGUUUAUUCGGAAUCACUGGGGCUUAAAGCGCGUGUAGGCGGGAGGGCACGUCCGUUGCUGAAAUCCCCCGGCUCAACCGGGGAACGGGCGCGGAUACGACCUUCCUGGAGGGGCGUAGGGGGACCUGGAACUUCCGGUGGAGCGGUGAAAUGCGUAGAUAUCAUUUGGAACGCCAAUGGUGAAAACAACUCGCUGGGGGGUGUGCUGACGCUGAGACACGAAAGCCAGGGGAGCGAACGGGG
rnacentral:rRNA from 1 species